UACGAAGGGGGCAAGCGUUGUUCGGAAUUAUUGGGCGUAAAGGGCGCGUAGGCGGCGCCACAAGUCACUUGUGAAAACUCUGGGCUCAACUCAGAGUCUGCCAUAGAAACUGCAGUGCUGGAGUGUGGGAGAGGUGAGUGGAAUUCCCGGUGUAGCGGUGAAAUGCGUAGAGAUCGGGAGGAACACCUGUGGCGAAAGCGGCGCACUGGACCACAACUGACGCUGAGGCGCGAAAGCUAGGGGAGCAAACAGG
rnacentral:rRNA from 1 species